rnacentral:rRNA from 1 species
GAUGAACGCUAGCGGCAGGCCUAAUACAUGCAAGUCGAACGGGAUCCAGAUCAAAGCUUGCUUUGGUUUUGUGUGAGGGGCGCACGGGUGCGUAACGCGUGAGCAACCUACCCUUGUCAGGGGAAUAGGCCGGCGAAAGUAGGAUUAAUACCGCAUGACAUCAUUGAGAGGCAUCUUUCGAUGAUCAAAGAUUUGUCGGACAAGGGUGCGCUCGCGUGCCAUUAGCUAGUUGGUAAGGUAAAGGCUUAGCAAGGCUACGAUGUCUAGGGGCUCUGAGAGGAGCAUCCCCUACAUUGGUACUGAGACACGCGCCAGACUCCGACGGGAGGCAGCAGUAAGGAAUAGUAGACAAUGGAGUUUAGUCUGACCCACCCAUCCCGCGUGCAGGAACACUGCCUUAGGGUUUGCAACCUGCUUUUAUACGAGAACAACCGUCGGUACGUGCACCGGUCUGCGCGUACCGGACGAAUAAGGAACGGCUAACUGCGUG